GAUGAAGAACGUAGCGAAAUGCGAUACUUGGUGUGAAUUGCAGAGUCCCGUGAACCAUCGAGUCUUUGAACGCAAGUUGCGCCUCAAGCCAUUAGGUUGAGGGCACGUCUGCCUGGGCGUCACAUAUCGUUGCCUGAUGCCAGUUUCCUCGUGAUGGGUGACUGUGCAGGGCGAAUGAUGGCUUCCCGUGAGCAUUGUUGCCUCAUGGUUGGUUGAAAAUUGAGUCCUUGGUAGGGAGCGCCGUGAUAGAUGGUGGUUGAGUGACGAACGAGACCCAAUCAUGUGAGACCCCUACCGAAUUUGGCCUUCAUGACCCACAUACGUCUUUGGAACGCUCAUGACGAGACCUCAGGUCAGGCGGGGCUACCCGCUGAGUUUAAGCAUAUCAAUAAGCGGAGGA
rnacentral:misc_RNA from 1 species